CCAUCCGAAACAGGUUAAAAACAAGUCUCCUGGUGCUCUUUUUUUUCUGGAAACAUUUCAGCCAUCACUUCACUUCUCUACCAGCUCUCAAUAAACCGUCCGGUCGCACAUCCCUUGCUCGCACAGGACCACGUCCUUGUUAUCUGGUGAUUUUCUGCAAUCCGUGCGAUCAAAAUGCACUCCCAACAUUGCGAGGAGUCGUUUUCAGACUAUUUUAUUCACAAGCAAGAACAAGGGAAUCCACGUGAAGGUAGGGUAGUAGGAAAGCCAACUAGCAUCGUGUCCCUGGCAUAAAAUGCCAAGCGGGCAGAUCGUAUAGCUUCAAUAUGGGAUAUGCAGAUAAAUUUUUGGCACUCAUUGUGAUUGAGGCAUCAUGACAUGACGACUUUGUCCCCUCUUUUGGGCACUGAUAGUAUCUAUCAUAUAUCAUAUUGGUUCGGACAGCUCUUCUGGCACUUUACCCUGACGCGAAAAGAGCCUAUUCAUGAAUAAACUGAGGAGUUGACUUGACGAAACACUCAAGGUGAAA
rnacentral:sRNA from 1 species